AAGGCGCGUUUUCUGAGCUCAUGUUGUCAGGCGAAAAGUAGCUUCACCGUGUAGCCUAAAGUGACCUACGAAUGUUUUAGCUUCAGUAAAGUCAUCAGUUUAAGUUGAACUAAACAGCAUGGCAACUAAAAAGAAACGAACGCCAAACACACAGAAUGACAGCUGGGUUGUGGUUUGUGCAGACUCAGUCUUAAACACACAGAAGCAAAACAGUGAUCCUGCUUUUUUAAGGCUGAGGAAUCCCUCAACAGACGGAGCAUCUCUGUACGUGCUGGGGAGCGGAGAUUUGCAGCUGUACGAGGUCAAAGCAUUUGAAGAAGAUUUUCACUCCUGGUUUGUUGGUCAGACCGUACAGA